rnacentral:rRNA from 1 species
GAAUCUUUCGCAAUGGGCGCAAGCCUGACGAAGCGACGCCGUGUGAGCGAAGAAGGCCUUCGGGUUGUAAAGCUCUUUCGCUAGGGAACAAGAGAGGUUGGAUAAUACCCAGCCAAUUUGAUGGUACUUGGUAAAGAAGCACCGGCUAACUCCGUGCCAGCAGCUGCGGUAAUACGGAGGGUGCAAGCAUUGAUCGGAAUUACUGGGCGUAAAGGGCGCGUAGGCUGUUAAGUAAGUCAGAUGUGAAAUUCCGGGGCUCAACCCCGGAGCUGCAUUUGAAACUGUUUAGCUAGAGUGUAGUUAGGGUAAACGGAAUUCCACGUGUAGCGGUGAAAUGCGUAGAUAUGUGGAAGAACACCGGUGGUGAAGACGGUUUACUGGGCUAUAACUGACGCUGAGGCGCGAAAGCAUGGGGAGCGAACAGG